GAUGAACGCUAGCGGCAGGCCUAACACAUGCAAGUCGGGGGGUAACAUAGAGAAGCUUGCUUUUCUGAUGACGACCGGCGCACGGGUGCGUAACGCGUAUGCAACCUACCUCUUACUGGAGGAUAGCCCGAAGAAAUUCGGAUUAAGACUCCAUAGUAUUAUCAUUUCGCAUGAUUUUGAUAAUUAAAGGUUACGGUAAGAGAUGGGCAUGCGUCCCAUUAGCUAGAUGGUAAGGUAACGGCUUACCAUGGCAACGAUGGGUAGGGGGCCUGAGAGGGUGAUCCCCCACACUGGUACUGAGACACGGACCAG
rnacentral:rRNA from 1 species